UUAAAUUUGAGGAAAAUUAGCCGAUUUGGAAAAAUUUUUUAAAACAUCUGACACAACCAAACAUGAGAAAAUUGGGAUUGAACUUUCUUCAACCUGAUGAUUUAGCAUACAAGGUUUUAUUUUUUUCCUUCAAGUUUUUGUUUUCUAAACUGAAAAAUAGAAGUGGAAAUAAGAUGCAAUUUGCUAAUUCAGGUAGUUUAGAAAGAAGAUGUAGUGAAAGGAUAUGGACUUUUAGAGACUCAGGCAGAAAGGAGAAAUAGAAGGGGUUGGGGGUUUUCAAAAUUGAUAUUUGUAAUGCACAAGAUGUUUUCAAAAAUGUCACAAUUGGAAAAUCAAGACUUUCUUUGUAUAAUUCACAAUUUUGCCAAAUUUUGUGUGGUCUGGGGUUUAUCCCCAAAUUUUUCUGUAAUUUUUUUCUGUGGGUUUCACAAUAUGGAAAACUGAUGAUAUUGAAAGUAUGAUAUUGUUUUUUGCAAAAAAAAUAAAAAGGAAAAUGCAUCACAUAGUUGGAACAAAGAAUACUACUUUACCUUCUGCAUACAACUGGUAUUUUCUUCGUAUUGUGUUGCUAAAGUCUUCUGUAAUUAUCUAAACUGAGCUACCAAAUUUGACUGCCCUCUUUCAGGUUUCUGUACGUGUACUUGUCAUUACUAUUCACAAGUGUCUUCAACUUCCUGCACUAUUGUGCAUGAUGCAGAGAAGUGGAAACUAAAAAACUAUUGUGGUAUUAAUAGCAAAAGAGAUGAGGCCAGUUUGAUUAAGCAUCAGGCAAAGACAACUUCGUUGCUGGCUAUAAAGUUGCCUGAGGUGACUGAAGACUUCCUAUCGACGAAGGUGAUGUGCCCUGCACGAAUGAUCUACAAAGAGUCAAUUAAAGCACGAGCGUCUCACACGAUAACACAAUGCUAUUCGCAGUUGUUCUUCAAUAUUCUCAUCUACAAUGUCGAUUAUAUGAAGACAGAAGCACUAUCGCAUACCUAUUUGCGGACCAGCCUUUUAGAAUGUUACCUAUAACUAUUACAUAUAUAAAAUUUAGUGUAUAGAUAAUUUUGUUCUCCAUCGUCAUCUUUUGGGGUUAAAAUUGAUCUUAUUUCAUUAUUUGUGCGAACAGGUCAAUGUUGACAUUUGAAUGAUAAAGAAUGUCACUUACAAUAGUAUUGGUCACUUCACAAUAAUAAAGACCUCUUUAAACUUUUACA